UCUACAGUUUCAAAAAUUUCCAACAAAGUGGAAGUGUCUUCAAAACAACAGUGUGUGGUUCUGCAAACAGAAUAACCUUGCUGUGCUGCUGUGCUGACUAUUAUUUGUAUUACAUAAAUAAGUGAAGUUAAGAUAUGACUGAAGCUGAGAUAUACGACUUUAUUACCAAAUGGUCUCGCUACAUCCUGCUCUGCAUCUGGAUUUUUGAUAUCGUCCUGAUAUUCACCAUUUAUCACUUGAGAACAACUUUUAGUAUCAGGAUGGAAAAUUACUGGAACAGACGCCAACAAGAGGACAGUGUCGACAACAGAGUAAGAGGCUCUACAAGCGAGGAGUCCACUUGAAGCAGUAAUUGAAAGAAAAAUAUCCGAUUGCUCUCACAUGUAGCAGCUUAAAACAACAACAGGCAUCACUGCGUUGAUCUGUUUUUGUUCAUUUCUUUUAACCAUGUAUUUUGUUUAUAUCAGCAUUAAAAAAUUUAAUAACAGGUACAACCUGAUAAAGUGAUGCUAAGUGUUUCUGAUAAAUAAAAUACUUUGUCUGAAAAAAUAAGAUUUUCGAGAUGGGUAUGGAUGCAGACCUGGUGCAGUGCAAUCUGGGCUGCAUCCAAUGCUUUUUAAUGGGCUCACCUAACCCCACCCCUAACCCUACCCCUCACAGUGACAUCACUCGCUCCAUAUGAGUGCAUUGUGUCUGACAUUGCAUCGCUGAAUCAUGCAAUCUCAGCUUGCAUCAUAAAGGCUGCAUCCAGAUACUAUUGAGAUUUUCAGCAUAUCAACCCUAACCUCUGGUUCAUUUAGGACACACUUACAAUAAUAAUGGAGAAUCUCUAGAGGCAAUACAGUUUUCAUUUGUUUUUCUUCGGUUUAGUUUCUAUUUCAGAGGUUGCCACAGUGGAAUGAACCGCCAACUAUUCUAGCAUAUGUUUUACACAGCGGAUGCCCUUUUAGCCAUAACCCAGUACUGGGAAACACCCCCCCCCCCCUCCACACACACACACACAUAUACACUACAGCCAAUUUAGCUUAUUCAUUUCACACCAAACCCACGCCAACACAGAACAUACAAAGUCCACACAGAAAUGCCAACUGACCCAGCCAGGACUCGAACCAGUCACCCUCUUGCUUUGAGGCAACAGUGCUAAUCACUAAGCCACCAUGCUGCCCUGCAAUACAGUUUUUUAAAGUAAAUAUUCCUGACAGACAUCCACAUUCAUGAUCUUUUCUUUGAUUCUAAAAACGUUGAAGACUGCUAUUUAUUUGCCAUUUAUUUAUAAUCAUUCGGUGCAUUGUAUUUAAAGUUCUGACUUUGUAUAGUCACAACAUCACACAUUUACCACAGAGGAAGUGCCUUUACUUUAAACAGUGCGUAUCAGCAAACAGAGCAAAACCUGAUCCUGUUUACCAUACAUCUACUUAAACUACGAUUUAUUGUGAGAAGAUAGAGGAGCAGACAAGAAUUAUGGUAAAUGCUUUUAUUAACUUGAC